GAUGAACGCUGGCGGCGUGCCUAAUACAUGCAAGUCGAGCGAACGGACGAGAAGCUUGCUUCUCUUAUGUUAGCGGCGGACGGGUGAGUAACACGUGGAUAACCUACCUAUAAGACUGGGAUAACUUCGGGAAACCAGAGCUAAUACCGCAUGAUAUUUUGAACCGCAUUGUUCAAAAGUGAAAGACGUUCUUUCUGUCACUUAUAGACUGAUCCGCGCUGCAUUAGCUAGUUGGUAAGGUACCGGCUUACCAAGGCAACGAUGCAUAGCCGACCUGAAGGGGUGAUCGGCCACACGGGAAGUGAGACACGGCCCAGACUCUGACGCGGGGCAGCAGUAGGGAAUCUUCCGCGAUGGGGGAGAGCCUGACGGAGCAACGCGGCGUGAGUGAUGAUGGUGUGCGGAUCGGAAGACUCUGUUAGUAGGCGAAAACAUAUGUGUAAGUAACUGUGAACAUAUUGACGGUACCUAAUCAGAAAGCAACGGCUAACUACGUG
rnacentral:rRNA from 1 species